AGUGAACGCUGGCGGUAGGCCUAACACAUGCAAGUCGAACGGCAGCACAGGAGAGCUUGCUCUCUGGGUGGCGAGUGGCGGACGGGUGAGGAAUACAUCGGAAUCUACUCUGUCGUGGGGGAUAACGUAGGGAAACUUACGCUAAUACCGCAUACGACCUACGGGUGAAAGCAGGGGACCUUCGGGCCUUGCGCGAUUGAAUGAGCCGAUGUCGGAUUAGCUAGUUGGCGGGGUAAAGGCCCACCAAGGCGACGAUCCGUAGCUGGUCUGAGAGGAUGAUCAGACACACGGGAACUGAGACACGGUCCAGACUCCUACGGGAGGCAGCAGUGGGGAAUAUUGGACAAUGGGCGCAAGCCUGAUCCAGCCAUACCGCGUGGGUGAAGAAGGCCUUCGGGUUGUAAAGCCCUUUUGUCGGGGAAGAAAUCCAGCUGGCUAAUACCCGGUUGGGAUGGCGGUACCCAAAGAAUAAGCACCGGCUAACUUCGUGCCAGCAGCCGCGGUAA
rnacentral:rRNA from 1 species